GGGCGGGAGGCGCUGAGGGAGGGGCUGUGCGCGGGGGCUGCGGGCGGUCCCUGAUCGGCUUCGGGACCUCCGGGCGGCGGCGGGAGGGGUUCUGUGUGCCGGCGACCCGGAGCGGUGUGCCCGCGUCCCCGGGCCGUAACUCGGGGAAACUUGGCGCAUCCUGCCCGGCUGGCCGCCGCCAGGGCUCCGUGCCGAGCGCUGUCCUGCCACACGGCGCUGCGGCUGAGGGGCUGCGCCCCGAAAGCGGCCGUGUGGGCUGUGGAGGGCGUGUGCAGGAGAGAGCCCCCGGUAUUUCUGGUGCCUGCCCCAAACUAGAAGGAUUCUGAGAAGAGUGUAAAGCUUUCCUUGCAAGCAUGUUCCCUCACCUCGGCGUGCCUGACGCGCAAACUCAGGUGGAUCAGUUUCCUGAACUCCUUUGUCUGCAGAACCAGAAAUCGCAAGUCUUGAGCGAGCCUUUCUGUUGUGCCUAUGAAGCAUGUUCCCGCCUUCCUGCCUGCGCCUUCACAGUGCCGCUCGUGCUUCAGCACUAUCCCAUUCCGCUCCAUUUUUCCAUGGAUGGAUUGUUUCCUGUCUUCCCAUUCCUGGUCUAUCCCUGGCCCCUCUGCGUGCACCCCUGUGCUAGGCCGCGGUGUUGGCCUUGGCUACGCUGUUGCCACUGCCGGGUGUAUGGGAAUAUUGAUUUUACAGUGUGUGUGCUCUGUAAAAAAUCAAUAUUUCAGUAGAUUGAGCAGAGCAUGCGGCGGUGUAAUGGAGCCCAGCCUGCUAAUGUAACGUGCAGGGGUCCUCAUUCAGGGAUUGAGGUCAGUCAGAAAAUGGAAAUGUGUUUUCUUGUUUUAUUGUCUGUUUCAGAUUUAAUGUGGGUGUUUAUGUUCUUGUGUUUAACCUAUAGCGGGGCAUAGAGUUGCUUUAAAGUCACAUCCAACAGAAUGUCACGCAUUUCACGCGACGUACAUAAAAACAUGCCUCAGAUGGACAGCCCAUGUUUAGAGCUUAGUAAACCUCCUUUUCCCCUUCCCCAUCACAUGUCCAUUAAACAACAGUUGUGAGGAGAGAUUAGUAAUUUUUGUUUCUUCAAAUAAAAAAUAGUUUUCUGUCA